CCACCAGCCACUGGAUCCAGACACUGACCAAUAAACCAUAAUUCCCGUGAAGUACAAGAGAUUGACACAAUGGAAGUAGGCGCGACCCACGCUGUUGCUCCAUCCUAUCUUGGAUGGUCCAUCUUUAACACUUUAUGCUGCUGUCUGCCACUUGGGAUUCCUGCUAUUAUCUUUUCCUGCAAGGCACAAAAUGCAAACACUCUGGGAGAAUCAGCUAUUGCUGAGGAAGCAUCAAGGACGGCCAAGACCCUGAACAUCAUUGGAACAGUCUUUGGAGUAAUCAUCAUCACCGUUUGGAUUACAGCUACAUUUAUUUAAGAAAGAGAAGGCCAAAUUUUGCCAGAAAAUGAAGAGUAAAAAUCAAAAAAGUUUUUAUAAUUAUGUGCUACACCUCCUCUACAUGGAUCAUUAAUUAGGCAUAUAUGUCUGUAGGUCCUUGUUCACAUAUGUUUGCAGACUGUGUUUAAUCGGCUUUUUCCAUUUAAAAUAAAAAAACAAAAUGAUAUGAAGAUUAUAGGAAGAACAAUGAGUGCAUGUCAGCAUCAGAGUACUGCACGAGUGUGCCAUUUACUAAAAGGAAGGAAAAAAGGCAUAUUAUUGUAAAAAUAUAGUUUUUAUUUGUCUUAUUUACAUUUAUGUUAGCGUGGGCCGUGAUAAAAGAAGAAAAUAUAUAAAAAUUGUAACAAAGGGUGUUUAUUAUAAUAAAAGCGCUUCUUUUAAUUUGAUAGUGAAAA